CCGCGCUAGACGGGGAGGUAGCGGUGCCCUGGACCCGCAACCCGCUAUAGCGGGGUCGAACUCCCACCCCCGGCCCGGCCUUGUCGGGCAGCCCGGCGGCGGAGGCGUAGACGACCUGGACCCGCGCAACGGGAACCCGUGAACCCCGUCAGGCCCGGAAGGGAGCAGCGGUAAGCGGGCCGGCCCGUGUGCCGCGGGCCACCCUGGUCCGAGCCGACCCCGUCGGAAGCGCCGGUAGGGUCCUGGUCAAAGGUGGGUGCGCGG
rnacentral:SRP_RNA from 1 species